UAAACAAAAUAAUGAAGCAAAGUUUCUCUUUUAUAGCAAAUGCAAAUUAAGGGCAAAAUGGUCAAUAUGCCACCUCCUUAAUAUCCAAACCUCCUUAACCAAGCUUGUAAGAUCUCAACUUUUAUGAAUAAAGAUAAUUUUUUCUCGAAACAUAUUUUUGAAUAUUAUGGUGUGGAUUUGAUAUAAUGUUAUAGUUGUGAGUAAUAUUUAUAAAUUUUGCAAAGUAAGCAAGUUAUAAAAUAUUCGAUUGGUCAGGGAAUAUUCGUUUUAACAAGGAAUAUUCGUACGACGACACAAUCAUUGUUGGACCCCACAACGAAAUUAUUGUCGGAGUUAGAAAACGACAGAAAUAUCUUUUUAUAAUAAUAACGGCAAAAGUUUUACCGUUAAACUGUUGAACUACCCGGUGAUAAAGGUAUAGUAAUACGCGCGGUUGCAUAGUAACACACGG
rnacentral:lncRNA from 1 species